rnacentral:rRNA from 1 species
GAUGAACGCUAGCUACAGGCUUAACACAUGCAAGUCGAGGGGCAGCAUGAUUGAAGCUUGCUUCAAUCGAUGGCGACCGGCGCACGGGUGAGUAACACGUAUCCAACCUGCCGAUAACUCGGGGAUAGCCUUUCGAAAGAAAGAUUAAUACCCGAUAGUAUAGUAUUUCCGCAUGGUUUCACUAUUAAAGAACUUCGGUUAUCGAUGGGGAUGCGUUCCAUUAGAUAGUUGGCGGGGUAACGGCCCACCAAGUCAACGAUGGAUAGGGGUUCUGAGAGGAAGGUCCCCCACAUUGGAACUGAGACACGGUCCAAACUCCUACGGGAGGCAGCAGUGAGGAAUAUUGGUCAAUGGACGAGAGUCUGAACCAGCCAAGUAGCGUGAAGGAUGACUGCCCUAUGGGUUGUAAACUUCUUUUAUACGGGAAUAAAGUGGAGUAUGCAUACUCCUUUGUAUGUACUGUAUGAAUAAGGAUCGGCUAACUCCGU